rnacentral:lncRNA from 1 species
UAGUGAAGGUUGUCUAUCACAAUCGCGUUAAUUGAAUUCUUGGCAAUUGUAUCAUGCAUUCAUAGUUAUAAUUGCCUUGUCAACACUUAUGAUUUUCAUUGAACGUAAUGAUCUCUGAUUGUAUCUCUAUUAUGCGUUCAUAUAGGGGACUUUUAGAGAAUGAUUUGGGUUGUCACAUGCAUUCAUCCAAUUCAAUGAGUAAAGGAAAAUCUGAGGGUUAAUUUGUGCAUCACGGUUAAUUUGGGGUGUUGAGUAUCAUAGUUUAUUGAAAAGCAAUUGGAAAUCGAUUCAUGUACAAGUGUGUCAUGUGUGAAGAAUGGACCUCUAACUAAUCCAUCCAUUUUAUUUCUCAAAUUCAUUUUAUAAUCUGCCUAGUUUUAUAACUUGCUUGUUUAUUUCAAAUUCAUCCAAAUCAAAACCCCAAUUUUACUUUCUUGUUUCAAAGUGUUAAAUUUCGGUUUUGUUUGUGUUUUAGAGUGUUUUGAUUUAAGUCAAAACACUAAAUUCGUCCAAAGUUGUGUUAGAGUCAAAUAUGCCCAGUUUGUGUUUUUAGGCAGUUUUGAGUGUUUUUAAGUUGUUUUGAGUCUUUAGAAUCUGUUUUGAGUCCCUUGAGUCUAUUCAAAUGUUUUUAACUUUGUUUUUAUGCUUUUGAGUAAGUUUAGAGGUUUUAGCAAGCCCUCCUAAUCCCCAGUUUAGAACGAUCCCUACUUGCAUUUAUACUACAAUUUGACAACAAGAGGGUUUAAUUUGAGUGCUUAACUUUCAUCGCAUCACUAGGCUUUGAAUUUCAUGGGUAAUGUUUUGUUUUUGAGUGCAUACAAGCAUGAUUCCGCCUUUAAAUGUUAAUUGCAUGCCAUAGAUGUUGCUCAAAUGAACAUGUUUUUCACAAAAUUUCCUUCAAGUGGUACCAGAGCCUAGGUCUAGUAGUUGGUGAAUCCUUUUGGGUUUUGUAGUUCAUAGUCUUUGAUUUGAAUGUUGUAAUUGUUACAAGCUUUAUUCUUGCUUCUUUGAAUGUAAAUUUUGUUAGAAAAAUUGCCAUCUCAAAUAUUGUAGAUAUAGUUCAUAUGAGCAUGAAUUUUGGAUCUAAAAUUUGGUGCCAUGUUUUUGGGGAAAUUCGGCCAAAUCCAAAGGGUGGUUUUUUGGGUUCUUGUUGGAACCCCUAAGUACCCUAGGAUGUUAACCCCCUUUUGAGUAGUGAAAUUUUGAAUUUUAUUGAGUGAAAAC